AUGGCGGCUGUGCCUCGAGCCAUGCGGAGGAGAGUUCGGUCCCGCUCAACGUACAAUUCGGAUGUAACAUGACUUAAUUCACUUUUUUGAUGGCUGAAGUCUGGAAACAUUCUGGAUAGUGCAUCAGCGAUGACCUCGAUCAUAAAGACUUGCUGGCAGGAUGGAAAACAAUCUCCUUCCAGUCUCCAUGGGUUUCUGGUAAUAAUGCAACUAAUUUUAUGAGAUAAGUAUUGAUAUAAAUAGUAUAUAAUUGUGGCAUACUCUUAACGAAGAGCCUGAAAAUGUACACAAAUAAUCUGACUUUUUGCAAGAAAUGGGCAACAAUAACUGUUUUGGACACUGGACUGUCUUUAUGCACUGAUUAGGUAUUUGACUUUGUACAAGAGAUGGGAGACUUAAAACUGACCCACUAAAAAGGGUCAGUGUUGCCCUAUACAACUCUUCCUUAGUCUUGAUCUGUGAUGCAAAGACUUGGUCCCCAAAAAAGAGGAAAAAACUGUUUCGGAUACUGGACUGUCUUUAUGCACUGAUCAGGUGUUUGACUUUGUACAAGAGAUGGGAGACUUAAAACUGACCCACUAACAAGGGUUGGUGUCACCCUAUACAACUCUUCCUUAGUCUUGAUCUGUGAUGCAAAGACUUGGUCCCCAAAAAAAAGGAAAAACUGUUUUAGAAACUGGACUGUCUUUAUGCGCUGAUCAGUUGUUUGACUUUGUACAAGAGAUGGGUGACUUAAAACUGACCCACUAACAAGGGUCAGUGUUGCCCUAUAAAACUCUUCCUUAGUCUUGAUCUGUGAUGCAAAGACUUGGUCCCCAAAAAAAGAGGAAAAAACUGCUUCGGACACUGGACUGUCUUUAAACGCUGAUCAGGUGUUUGACUUUGUACAAGAGAUGGGUGACUUAAAACUGACCCGCUAACAAGGGUCGGUGUCACCCUAUAAAACUCUUCCUUAGUCUUGAUCUGUGAUGCAAAGACUUGGUCCCCCAAAAAAGAGGAAAAAACUGUUUUGGACACAGCUUUGCAAACGAGAAGAUAUUUUUUACCAAAAACUGCUGUCUGUAGUAGGUUUCCUACGACCAAAAAAAAUGCUUGAGUGUUAGGUUGGUUGUCCAUGGAAUGGCCCCUCCAAACCGUUUUCAGAGUACAGAAUGAAGGACUCCAUCAGGAGGGGGGGUCCAAUUCCGUUGUUACACCGACCUUUGGUUCCCCUUCACAUGGUUGCCACAGGUCUGGGAAUUUUUAAAGACGAACAGCUCAACUAGCUUAGAUGAGCGGAAACUGGUAAAAUUCUGUUGUCCAGAAAUUGUCUACAACUGCAAAUUUGUAUGUAAAUAAUGAUGGCGUAUCCUUCCUCCUCCAGCCAACCCAAAGAUCAUAAGUGUAAAAAAAGAGGUUUAACAAAGACGAGAAUACUUUUUACUCUAGUGAGCGUAGCUUUGUCGUAUAUUUGAAUGAAAUUGUGCAACGUUCGUUGAAGUUUGUCGUGAUCUUUUGACAAGAAAAAAUAUGUUUGUCGUUCUUGGGAUGAAGGUCUGUUUUGGACACAUGCGGAUUCAUUAAGUUUCUGAAUUUUAAAUUCUUUGGAGUCUAACAGUUUAAUUGCUGUGGCAUAGUUGAAAAGAAGCUUGUGGAGGUUUGUCUUAGUCUAUUGGUGGGAAAGGUUCGUUUUUCGUCUUUUUGGGGAAAGCCUGAUAGAGUAUGAAAGUGUAUAACGUUUUAAUGGCUCAAAUUCUUGGUCUUAAUUUUAUUUCCCUGUUUUGCAGGUUUCCACGACCAUCCAAAACUGGAUGCCAAGGAACACAAUCAUCUUAAGCAUGAGACUAGAGACAAAUGUCAAUCUUGGAAAGAAAGAAAGCAAAAUUAGAUCGACCCCCGAUUCAGAGAAUAAAAUAAAAAUUUGGGUUCGAUCCGUACACCAUCCCCACCCACACCCGCCUCUAUUAGAUAGUUUAGAACACUUAGUAGAAGUCCUCUACCUUGUGGCACAAGCAUAUUUUAUUACCAUACAGUACAUUACAGUAUUACAACAUUACCAUAGAAUAUUUUCAUAUAUAUUAGAACAGUUAUAUCACUAUUUAAAAUGUUGUUAGACAGUAAUAUUACAAUAUUUUGAGACAGUUUUUUUUUUUACCCAUCCGACCUCCCCCACCGCGCCCACCUCUUUCAGGCAGUUUUAAUAAGUCUUCCAAAAUGUUGUCUACCUUGUGGUAAAAACAUUUCUUUCAAACGCAUGCGUUUUGUGCAAAGGAACGUCUGUCUUAAUACACAUGCGUAUUGCAGUUACUACGAGGAAAAUACCUAAACACUUCCUUUAAGGAGUAGUGGGGUAAGGGGGCGGACCGACCCCCAAUUUUUGCGUUCUGUCCAAGGUUGAUAUUUUCUUGUGUUAUUUCUUGUCAAUCCACCCCGAUCUGUCUGAGGUUGAUAAUUUGUCUCGGUACUCUUGCUUUACUUCUUGUUAAUCUAAAGUUAAUUUAAGAACAUGAUCAAUAAAUUAGUAAGUUUGCAAGAGAAAGUGAAAAUUAUACAAAACAAUAGGAUAAUAUUUUUUUCUCAGGUAUUACGUAUUCAGUCACCUUAUUUCAUAGAAAUAAACUGACAGCAAAUUAACAUUAUCAUAUACAACAAAUCAACAGUAAAAAUAUAUCAUGAUGAAAGAAAGGAAAAAGCGAUCACAAGAAAACCGUGGUAAUGGCAAAAAAAAAAAGACCAAGUUCUGUUAUUGCACAUGAGUGUUUGAAAAACACUUCAGUCCCUUGGGUAGCGUGCCUUUGGCAUGGAAUUUUACUUUCAGUAUUGGCCCUAAAACGUUUAAAAAUAAAAUAUAUUUCUCUUAAGAAAUUCGCU